GACGAACGCUGGCGGCGUGCUUAACACAUGCAAGUCGAACGGAAAGGCCCUGCUUUUGUGGGGUGCUCGAGUGGCGAACGGGUGAGUAGCACGUGAGUAACCUGCCCUUGACUUUGGGAUAACUUCAGGAAACUGGGGCUAAUACCGGAUAGGGGCUCCUGCUGCAUGGUGGGGGUUGGAAAGUUUCGGCGGUUGGGGAUGGACUCGCGGCUUAUCAGCUUGUUGGUGGGGUAGUGGCUUACCAAGGCUUUGACGGGUAGCCGGCCUGAGAGGGUGACCGGCCACAUUGGGACUGAGAUACGGCCCAGACUCCUACGGGAGGCAGCAGUGGGGAAUAUUGCACAAUGGGCGGAAGCCUGAUGCAGCAACGCCGCGUGCGGGAUGACGGCCUUCGGGUUGUAAACCGCUUUCGCCUGUGACGAAGCGUGAGUGACGGUAAUGGGUAAAGAAGCACCGGCUAACUACGUG
rnacentral:rRNA from 1 species